rnacentral:rRNA from 1 species
ACGCUCGACACCUACGGGAGGUAGCAGUGGGGAAUAUUGGGCAAUGGGCGAAAGCCUGACCCAGCAACGCCGCGUGAGGGAUGAAUGUUUUCGGAUUGUAAACCUCUGUCCUCAGGGACGAAGGACGUGACGGUACCUGAGGAGGAAGCCCCGGCUAACUACGUACCAGCAGCCGCGGUAAUCUGAGCGGGCUGGCAAGGC